GUUUUUUUGAAAAUAAUUUAAAGUUUAAUUUGCCCMCUGAAUAAAUUUAAAGGGCUGCAGUAUAUUGACUGUACAAAGGUAGCAUAAUCAAUAGUYUUUUAAUUGAAGACUUGUAUGAAUGAUUUGAUGAAAUAUAAGCUGUCUCUUUAUUAAAAAUAGAAUUUAAUUUUUUAGUUAAAAAGCUAAAAUAUUUAUAAAAGACGAGAAGACCCUAUAGAGUUUUAUAUUUAUUGUUAAUUUAAUUUUAUAUAAAAAUUUAAAUUAAAUUAUUAAUAAAUAUUUUAUUGGGGUGAUAGAAAAAUUAAAAAAACUUUUUUUAAAAAAAUUACAUUGAUAUAUGAAUAUAUGAUCCAUAAUUUAUGAUUACAAGAAUAAAUUACCUUAGGGAUAACAGCGUAAUUUUUUUUUUUAGUUCAAAUAAAAAUUAAAGUUUGCGACCUCGAUGUUGGAUUAAGAUAAAAUUUAAAUGCAAAAGUUUAAAAUUUUGAUCUGUUCGAUCAUUAAAAUCUU
rnacentral:rRNA from 1 species